rnacentral:tRNA from 2 species
CGCGGAAUAGAGCAGCUGGUAGCUCGUCGGGCUCAUAACCCGAAGGUCAUUGGUUCAAAUCCAAUUUCCGCAACCA